rnacentral:rRNA from 1 species
AGAGUUUGAUCCUGGCUCAGAACGAACGCUGGCGGCAGGCUUAACACAUGCAAGUCGAACGGUUGUAGCAAUACAGCAGUGGCAGACGGGUGAGUAACACGUGGGAACCUUCCUAGGGGUACGGAACAACUCAGGGAAACUUGAGUUAAUACCGUAUACGUCCGUGAGGAGAAAGAUUUAUCGCCCCUAGACGGGCCCGCGUAGGAUUAGGUAGUUGGUGAGGUAACGGCUCACCAAGCCUACGAUCCUUAGCUGAUCUGAGAGGAUGAUCAGCCACACUGGGACUGAGACACGGCCCAGACUCCUACGGGAGGCAGCAGUGGGGAAUCUUGGACAAUGGGCGCAAGCCUGAUCCAGCCAUGCCGCGUGAGUGAAGAAGGCCUUCGGGUUGUAAAGCUCUUUUACCAGGGACGAUAAUGACGGUACCUGAGAAUAGC